GAUGAACGCUGGCGGCGUGCUUAACACAUGCAAGUCGAACGAAGCACCCCUCCUGAAGAUUGACACAGCUUGCUGUAGAUUGAUUCAUUUGAGGUGACUGAGUGGCGGACGGGUGAGUAACGCGUGGGUAACCUGCCUCCUAGAGGGGGACAACAGUUGGAAACGACUGCUAAUACCGCAUAGUAAGAAGAAUUCGCAUGUUUUCUUCUUCAAAGAUUUAUCGCUAUGAGAUGGACCCGCGUCUGAUUAGCUAGUUGGUAAGGUAACGGCUUACCAAGGCGACGAUCAGUAGCCGGCAUGAGAGAGUGAACAGCCACAUUGGGACUGAGACACGGCCCAAACUCCUACGGGAGGCAGCAGUGGGGAAUAUUGCGCAAUGGGGGAAAGCCUGAUGCAGCGACGCCGCGUGAGUGAAGAAGUAUUUCGGUAUGUAAAGCUCUAUCAGCAGGGAAGAUAAUGACGGUACCUGGCGAAGAAGCCCCGGCUAACUACGUG
rnacentral:rRNA from 1 species